rnacentral:rRNA from 1 species
AGUGAACGCUGGCGGCAUGCCUAACACAUGCAAGUCGAACGGCAGCACAGUAAGAGCUUGCUCUUACGGGGGGCGAGAGGGGGACGGGUGAGGUAUGCAUCGGAAUCUACUUUUUCGGGGGGGAUAACGUAGGGAAACUUACGCUAAUACCGCAUACGACCUACGGGGGAAAGCAGGGGAUCGUCUGAGCGUGCGGGAUUGGACGAGCCGAUGACGGAUUAGCUAGUGGGGGGGGUAAAGGCCCAGCAAGGCGACUAUACGUAGCACGUCUGGGAGGAUGGUCACCCACACUGGAAGUGAGACACGGUCCAGACUCCUACGGUAGGCAGCAGUCGGGAAUCUUAGACAAUGGGCGCAAGCCUGAUACAGCAAUACCGCGUGGGUGAAGAAGGCCUUCGGGUUGUAAAGCCCUGUUGUUGGGAGAGAACAGCUGCAGGUUAAUACGCCGCGGUUCUGACGGUACCGAGAGAAUAAGCACCGGCUAACUUCGUG